ACUCAUUUCCCCUCAACCAAAUUCUCUCCAUAAGCCUCCACUAUUAUUGUUGUCGCUAUCUCUCCCAUCGUUGCUGAUGUCUCCACCACCUUUGAUGUUGUCUCAACGCUGGAGCAUCAAGCCUCUCGUUGGUGUUGUGCACCUUCUCUUAAAGGAGCUACAAAAGUUUGUGAGUGCUAAAAUUAUUACUUUUGUGAAGCUACACACACAUACAAGAAAUAUUUUUUUAGCCUUACAUCAUUUUCUGCAUAUAGGAUUAUUCAAGCUAUUAUUGUUACUUUUGAUGCAGAACAUAAUAAUCAUUUUUUCUAGAGAAGUGGUAGCUCAUUUAAGAGAAGGUUGCACAAUACCAAUAAGAUGCUCGAUGCUCCAGCGUGGAGACAUCGAAAACUACAGCUAAAACAUUGGCUAGGAGUAGUGGAUUCAGCAACAGCAGCGGUGGAGACAAUAACACCUGCAUCAAUGGAGGCUUAUAAAGGUUUUGACUUUUGUAGAGAAUUUGGUUGGGGAGAGAUGAGUGAAAUAGGUGUUUUUUGAGGGUGUGGGAAGAACAAUUUUUUUGUUUAUUUACGAAAAUAGUCUGGCAAAAAACUUAAGUUAUGCUUACUUAAGAAGGGAAUUUGUGACCAACUUUUUGGUUACACAAUGUUAACAUGCUCCUUAAUAAAAAGGGGAAACAUGCAUAAGCCUUCACUGAUGUAGUUGUGGCUGUCUCCCCCACCCCUACCGUUGUCUCUACCAUCGCUGUCAUUGUCUCAGCCGUCGUUGCUGAUGUCUCCAGGUUAGAGCAUCGAGCAUCCCAUUGGUGUUGUGUCACCUUCUUUUAAAGGAGCUACACAAGUUUAUGAGUACUUAAAUUGUUACUUUUGUGAGGCUACAAAGACAUACAAGAAUCAUAUGUUUAGCAUUGCCCGUUUGUAAACGUGUAUUUUUAACUAUUCAUUUAUCAAACCCGUGAGUACUUAAAAUGGGUACCCACGGGUUUGAUAAAUGAGUAGUUAAAAAUACACGUUUACAAACGGGUAAGCACGGGUUUUAUAGUACCCGUGCGUGUGAGUACCGUAAUUUUUAUCCUUAUUUUUUAUAUAUUUAUUCUACAUUACCUUCUUAUCCUAAUUUGAUAACUCUUUUUCCUUAUUCACUUUACUUCUUCUCUUCUUUAUUCCUCAUUCAUUUUCCAAACACCCACUACAAGAAUCACAUUUACUUCCAAUUUCUAUCCUCAUUUCCUCACCUAUAUCUCUUCCCUUAGAUUCAAUUUCAUUCAACGCUUUCAAUCAAGUCAUAUUUGUUCCACAUUUUUCUGAUCUUUACUUCCAAUUUUUAGUUAUGUGAUCUUUAGACUUUAAUUGUACUUUAAUUCCAUGCAGAUCCAACAUGUUUUCAAUUCGAUUUUAGCUGAAUCUCGGGUUGAACGAUUUUCUUUAUAUUUGAUUUGAAUCUAUUUAGUUUUGUGUAUUUCUGAAGUGUUAUCACUGUUGUGUUCUUGUUGGAUCAUUUGGAAAUGUGAGUUAUGAUAGAUUUUUUUUUUAUUGGCAAUUGUUAGUAUGUUAGUAUUUUGUGGUGGGUAGGAAUUG
rnacentral:lncRNA from 1 species